rnacentral:rRNA from 1 species
UGGGGAAUUUUGGACAAUGGGGGAAACCCUGAUCCAGCCAUCCCGCGUGUGCGAUGAAGGCCUUCGGGUUGUAAAGCACUUUUGGCAGGAAAGAAACGUCAUGGGUUAAUACCCCGUGAAACUGACGGUACCUGCAGAAUAAGCACCGGCUAACUACGUGCCAGCAGCCGCGGUAAUACGUAGGGUGCAAGCGUUAAUCGGAAUUACUGGGCGUAAAGCGUGCGCAGGCGGUUCGGAAAGAAAGAUGUGAAAUCCCAGAGCUCAACUUUGGAACUGCAUUUUUAACUACCGGGCUAGAGUGUGUCAGAGGGAGGUGGAAUUCCGCGUGUAGCAGUGAAAUGCGUAGAUAUGCGGAAGAACACCGAUGGCGAAGGCAGCCUCCUGGGAUAACACUGACGCUCAUGCACGAAGGCGUGGGGAGCAAACAGG